UUCUCCACCGGGCUUUCCCCUCCCUCCUCUCUGGACCGGGAAGCAGCUAACCUCUUUGUGCAAGAAAGUACGAUGGGACAGAAAAAUCUUUUGCUGGUGACUUGCUUGUGGAUUCUGUCCUGCGCUGUUCUGCUUCAUGCUUCUUCUGAUGGAUUGGUAAGAAUUAACCUAAGUAAGAAGAAAUUGGACAAGAAAACCUUGGACGGUGCAAAAUUGGCAAGGGGGGAGAGCCAUCGUCUGAGAGUCGACGGUUUAGGUGACGACACAGUUCCUUUGGACAACUACCUGGACACUCAGUACUUUGGAGAAAUCGGUAUUGGCACGCCGCCACAGAACUUCACAGUGAUCUUUGACACUGGAAGCUCGAACUUGUGGGUUCCAUCGACGAAAUGCUAUUUUUCGAUAGCAUGCUACUUACACCACAGGUACAAGUCAAAAGGGUCAAGCAGUUACAAAAAGAAUGGAGAAUCUUGCACCAUUUCCUAUGGCUCUGGAUCAAUUGCUGGUUUCUUCAGUGAGGAUAGCGUGUUAGUUGGGGAUCUUGUUGUAAAAAACCAGAAGUUCAUUGAGACAACCAGGGAACCAAGCCUUACUUUCAUCAUUGGAAAGUUUGAUGGAAUUCUUGGACUUGGAUUUCCGGAAAUCUCUGUGGGAGGAGCCCCUCCAAUUUGGGAGGGAAUGAAAGAGCAGAAACUGAUUGCAAAGGACAUCUUCUCCUUCUGGCUUAACCGUGAUCCUGAUGCACCGACAGGGGGUGAGCUCAUCUUUGGUGGUGUAGACCCAAAUCAUUACAAGGGGAACCAUACAUAUGUUCCUGUUACCCGUAAGGGCUACUGGCAGUUUGAGAUGGGGGAUCUUCUUAUUGAUGACUACUCAACUGGGUUCUGUGCUGGUGGUUGCGCCGCGAUUGCGGAUUCAGGCACUUCAUUGCUCGGUGGCCCAACGACUAUUGUUGCUCAAAUUAACCAUGCAAUUGGGGCUGAAGGAAUUGUUAGUAUGGAAUGUAAAGAAGUUGUGCGGGAGUAUGGGAUAUGAUCCUUGAGAUGCUCAUAGAACAGGCAAACCCUCUGAGAUUGUGCUCUCAGAUCGGACUUUGUGAAUUUGAUGGUACACGAUUGGUCAGCAACAAUAUAGAGUCCGUCAUUGAUAAAGAAAAGGUGGGUUCAGAUCUUUCCUGUACUGCCUGUGAGAUGGCUGUUGUCUGGAUACAGAAUCAACUCCGACAUAACAAAACAAGAGAUGUCAUUCUGCAGUAUGCUAACCAGCUCUGCGAGCAUCUCCCAAGCCCCAAUGGUGAAUCAGCAGUCGACUGCGAUGAGAUCUCAAAGAUGCCAAACCUUGCGUUCACCAUAGCGAACAAGACCUUCACCUUGACACCAGAGCAGUACAUAGUGAAGCUGGAGCAGCAAGGCCAAACCAUUUGCAUCAGCGGGUUCAUGGCAUUCGAUGUGCCACCACCUCGCGGCCCUCUCUGGAUACUUGGAGAUGUGUUUAUGGGUGCAUACCACAUUGUCUUCGACUUCGGCGAGAACAGGAUUGGGUUCGCUGAAUCUGCUUGAGGAUCAUGCAACAUAUAGCUUGUACUGUAAUGUUUGUUAGGAAGCUUGUCUCCACGGUAUUGUAAGCUGGGAUGUCUAUAGCGAAUCUUGUGAAGGAAUAAAAUGCUUUCACGAUGAGCUUUAUCAGCUAUGGCUCGAUAUGGAUCUGGAUGAUACAAUGCAGAUGUAAUGAACAAAUGGAGCAUGAUGAGAAUUAGGCCUUUUCAUCUGAUCUCAUCACACACACACAUAUAUAUAUAAUGGAUGGUUUAUUUGGCAUAUAGAUAUAUAAUGAUGAGCUGUACAACUUUUGAUGAUUUUAAC